rnacentral:rRNA from 1 species
CAGUCGCCACGGUAAUACAGAGGGUGCGAGCGUUAAUCGGAUUUAUUGGGCGUAAAGCGUGCGUAGGCGGCUUCUUAAGUCGGAUGUGAAAUCCCUGAGCUUAACUUAGGAAUUGCAUUCGAUACUGGGAAGCUAGAGUAUGGGAGAGGAUGGUAGAAUUCCAGGUGUAGCGGUGAAAUGCGUAGAGAUCUGGAGGAAUACCGAUGGCGAAGGCAGCCAUCUGGCCUAAUACUGACGCUGAGGUACGAAAGCAUGGGGAGCAAACAGGAUUAGAUACCCCAGUAGUCCCUGUCUCUUAUAC